rnacentral:rRNA from 1 species
UACGGGGGGGGCAAGCGUUGUUCGGAAUUACUGGGCGUAAAGGGUGCGUAGGCGGCGCAGAAAGUAGGGUGUGAAAUCCCUCGGCUCAACCGAGGAACUGCGCUCUAAACUACUGUGCUCGAGGGAGAUAGAGGUGAGCGGAACUUAGGGUGGAGCGGUGAAAUGCGUUGAUAUCCUAAGGAACACCGGUGGCGAAAGCGGCUCACUGGAUCUCUUCUGACGCUGAGGCACGAAAGCUAGGGUAGCAAACGGG